UACGGAGGGUGCAAGCAUUGAUCGGAGUUACUGGGCGUAAAGGGCGCGUAGGCGGCUGAGAAAGUCAGAUGUGAAAUUCCGGAGCUCAACUCCGGAGCUGCAUUUGAAACUUCUUAGCCAGAGUACAGUUAGGGAAAACGGAAUUCCACGUGUAGCGGUGAAAUGCGUAGAUAUGUGGAAGAACACCGGUGGUGAAGACGGUUUUCUGGGCUGUAACUGACGCUGAGGCGCGAGAGCUAGGGGAGCAAACAGG
rnacentral:misc_RNA from 1 species